rnacentral:tRNA from 1 species
AAAUAUAUAGUGUUUUAGCAUAAAGAAUUUUCAAUUCUUAGGAUUAAUAUUUA